rnacentral:rRNA from 1 species
ACACAUGCAAGUCGAGCGGAACGAGUUAUCUGAACCUUCGGGGGACGAUAACGGCGUCGAGCGGCGGACGGGUGAGUAAUGCCUAGGAAAUUGCCCUGAUGUGGGGGAUAACCAUUGGAAACGAUGGCUAAUACCGCAUGAUGCCUACGGGCCAAAGAGGGGGACCUUCGGGCCUCUCGCGUCAGGAUAUGCCUAGGUGGGAUUAGCUAGUUGGUGAGGUAAGGGCUCACCAAGGCGACGAUCCCUAGCUGGUCUGAGAGGAUGAUCAGCCACACUGGAACUGAGACACGGUCCAGACUCCUACGGGAGGCAGCAGUGGGGAAUAUUGCACAAUGGGCGCAAGCCUGAUGCAGCCAUGCCGCGUGUGUGAAGAAGGCCUUCGGGUUGUAAAGCACUUUCAGUCGUGAGGAAGGUGGUGUAGUUAAUAGCUGCAUUAUUUGACGUUAGCGACAGAAGAAGCACCGGCUAACUCCGUGCCAGCAGCCGCGGUAAUACGGAGGGUGCGAGCGUUAAUCGGAAUUACUGGGCGUAAAGCGCAUGCAGGUGGUUUGUUAAGUCAGAUGUGAAAGCCCGGGGCUCAACCUCGGAAUAGCAUUUGAAACUGGCAGACUAGAGUACUGUAGAGGGGGGUAGAAUUUCAGGUGUAGCGGUGAAAUGCGUAGAGAUCUGAAGGAAUACCGGUGGCGAAGGCGGCCCCCUGGACAGAUACUGACACUCAGAUGCGAAAGCGUGGGGAGCAAACAGGAUUAGAUACCCUGGUAGUCCACGCCGUAAACGAUGUCUACUUGGAGGUUGUGGCCUUGAGCCGUGGCUUUCGGAGCUAACGCGUUAAGUAGACCGCCUGGGGAGUACGGUCGCAAGAUUAAAACUCAAAUGAAUUGACGGGGCCCGCACAAGCGGUGGAACAUGUGGUUUAAUUCGAUGCAACGCGAAAAACCUUACCUACUCUUGACAUCCAGAAACUUUCAGAGAUGGAUUGGGGCUUCGGGAACUCUGAGA